UCGAUAAGGGAUGAUAACUGGCAGCGUAUGAGUCGUGCAUGAUGAAUGGUGUGUUUCCAGAACCCUGAGGUCCAG